GUUGAAUGAACAAAUCUGCUCAUUAAAAUGCAGAAUAGAAAAAUGUUCUGCUUAUGAAGAAUAAAGGAUAAUUUCGCUCAAGCUAAGUAAAAUAAAAUAAGUAUCUCAGAACUGAUCAGGUCGGUUGAAAGGGAAUGUCUGAAAUGGAGCUCAGGUGUCUUAAGGUUUAUUUCCCACUCCUGAUAUUGAUUUGUAUUCUUUCCAACGGCGGGGCUCAGAAUGCUACGGCGAACGAAGAGGGCUCACAAGUAGUACAAUUUGUAGAUGGUAUCCUAAAAAACGUCGUACCGGGCUAUUCAAUUGCAAAGCAAAUAGUAAAAGUAGCGAUACGACUAGCUUCGCAGCUUUUGGAGGAUUGAGAUCAUACAAUGUUUCAAUGGUUGGCCUGUGAAUUUGAAAUGCGAACAGUCAUACGUUGAAUGGCUAAGAAGUAAGUCUGAAAAAUAUUAAAUGAUCGUGCAGGAAGAUUAUGAUCGAAUAAUGUAAUUUAACAUUUUUGGGAUGCGUAAAAAUAUUCCUGAUCCUUAGGAUUUUGUUUUAUUUUUACUUAUACCUCGAACUACUGUUCAUUUAACGUAGCUGAUAAAAU